rnacentral:rRNA from 1 species
CCUACGGGUGGCAGCAGUAGGGAAUCUUUCACAAUGGGCGAAAGCCUGAUGGAGCAACACCGCGUGAGUGAAGAAGGGUUUCGGCUCGUAAAGCUCUGUUGAUGGAGAAGAACGUGAGAGAGAGUAAAUGUUAACGCAGUGACGGUAUCAAACCAGAAAGUGCAGGCUAACUACGUGCCAGCAGCCGCGGUAAUACGUAGGUGGCAAGCGUUAUCCGGAGUUAUGGGGCGUAAAGCGAGCGCAGGCGGUUGCUUAGGUCUGAUGUGAAAGCCGUCGGCUGAACCGAAGAACUGCAUCGGAUACCGGGCGACUUGAGUGCAGAAGGGGACAGCGGAACUCCAUGUGUAGCGGUGGAAUGCGUAGAUAUAUGGAAGAACACCAGUGGCGAAGGCGGCUGUCUGGACUGCAACUGACGCUGAGGCUCGAAAGCAUGGGUAGCGAACAGGAUUAGAUACCCCUGUAGUC